UACGGAGGGUGCAAACGUUGCUCGGAUUUAUUGGGCGUAAAGCGCGCGUAGGCGGCAACGCAGGUCGGGUGUGAAAUCCCGGGGCUCAACCCCGGAACUGCGCUCGAAACCGUGUAGCUUGAGUUGUGGAGGGAGAGGGAGAAUUCCUGGUGCAGGGGUGAAAUCCGUAGAUAUCAGGAGGAAUACCGGUGGCGAAGGCGCCCUCUUGGCCAACAACUGACGCUGAGGUGCGAAAGCAUGGGGAGCAAACAGG
rnacentral:rRNA from 1 species